CGGCGUUGCGAGCAUCGUUCUCUAAGAGCAGAAUAGGCUCUGCUCUGACGAUCAGUCAGCUAAAAGCACUUUAGAUGAUCAGUCACCAAAUUCCGGCAGUCGUUUAUAAAUAAUACCGUAACAAUGGCCGUAUAGAAUUUUGAUAUCCAUGUGUUGCGAUCCUGAGUGCUUUAAGAACUGCAGGAUACACAGAUUGUGCGGAUUUUGUGCACAUCGAAAUCGAGAUUCCAUGUAGACUACUUUCUUGAUUUUUAAUGCAAGUUAUCAGCUCACUGUACAGUUCCUUUGGAAAUAGUGCAGAGCUAUCAAAAGAAUAUACUUCCGAACUCCAAGCUGUAAUGCUGAUAUUAGAAUGAGGAAAAAAGCUUUGAAUGUUUCAAGAGAUUCUUGGGGUUUGAAGAUUCGAAUGGCCCGUCCUUAUCAGUCUAACCAAUGACCGGUAUGCGGAUGCAAUUCCUAAACUAAAAUUUCUCAGCUGGACUCGUGUAUGAUAAUUAGAGGUAGCUAUGCUUGCAUGCCAGUUAUUGGCACAUGUGGUUUAUUUAGUGUUUAAA